GAUGAACGCUGGCGGCGUGCCUAAUACAUGCAAGUCGAGCGAACAGACGAGGAGCUUGCUCCUCUGACGUUAGCGGCGGACGGGUGAGUAACACGUGGAUAACCUACCUAUAAGACUGGGAUAACUUCGGGAAACCGGAGCUAAUACCGGAUAAUAUAUUGAACCGCAUGGUUCAAUAGUGAAAGACGGUUUUGCUGUCACUUAUAGAUGGAUCCGCGCCGCAUUAGCUAGUUGGUAAGGUAACGGCUUACCAAGGCAACGAUGCGUAGCCGACCUGAGAGGGUGAUCGGCCACACUGGAACUUAGCCACGGUCCAGACUCCUACGGGAGGCAGCAGUAGGGAAUCUUCCGCAAUGGGCGAAAGCCUGACGGAGCAACGCCGCGUGAAUGAUGAAGGUCUUCGGAUCGUAAAACUCUGUUAUUAGGGAAGAACAAAUGUGUAAGUAACUAUGCACGUCUUGACGGUACCUAAUCAGAAAGCCACGGCUAACUACGUG
rnacentral:rRNA from 1 species